UUAUGGCUAUACCAAAUUUAAACACUGGUUCCCUCAUUCAAUCAGCAAAGUUAAACAAUGUCAAGCCUAGUCAGUACCUGGAUGGGUGACCACAUGGGAAUACCAUGU